rnacentral:tRNA from 1 species
GCCCUCGUAGCUCAGCAGGAUAGAGCGUUGGUUUCCUAAACCAAAGGUCGUGGGUUCGAAUCCCGCCGGGGGUA